rnacentral:siRNA from 1 species
UGAGUCAAUUGGUUUGAUGAGUAA